GCAGCCCCCUGGGAUAAUACUGACGCUCAUGCACGAAAGCGUGGGUAGCAAACAGGAUUAGAUACCCUGGUAGUCCACGCCCUAAACGAUGUCAACUAGCUGUUGGACCCUUCGGGGCUUAGUAGCGUAGCUAACGCGUGAAGUUGACCGCCUGGGGAGUACGGUCGCAAGAUUAAAACUCAAAGGAAUUGACGGGGACCCGCACAAGCGGUGGAUGAUGUGGAUUAAUUCGAUGCAACGCGAAAAACCUUACCUACCCUUGACAUGUCUGGAAUCCUUUAGAGAUAGAGGAGUGCUCGCAAGAGAACCGGAACACAGGUGCUGCAUGGCUGUCGUCAGCUCGUGUCGUGAGAUGUUGGGUUAAGUCCCGCAACGAGCGCAACCCUUGUCAUUAGUUGCCAGCAUUCAGUUGGGCACUCUAAUGAGACUGCCGGUGACAAACCGGAGGAAGGUGGGGAUGACGUCAAGUCCUCAUGGCCCUUAUGGGUAGGGCUUCACACGUCAUACAAUGGUCGGGACAGAGGGUUGCCAAACCGCGAGGUGGAGCCAAUCUCAGAAACCCGAUCGUAGUCCGGAUUGCAGGCUGCAACUCGCCUGCAUGAAGUCGGAAUCGCUAGUAAUCGCGGAUCAGCAUGUCGCGGUGAAUACGUUCCCGGGUCUUGUACACACCGCCCGUCACACCAUGGGAGUGGGUUUUACCAGAAGUAGUUAGCCUAACCGCAAGGGGGGCGAUUACCACGGUAGGAUUCAUGACUGGGGUGAAGUCGU
rnacentral:rRNA from 1 species